UGCAAGUCGAACGGUAACAUUUCUAGCUUGCUAGAAGAUGACGAGUGGCGGACGGGUGAGUAAUGCUUGGGAACUUGCCUUUGCGAGGGGGAUAACAGUUGGAAACGACUGCUAAUACCGCAUAAUGUCUUCGGACCAAACGGGGCUUCGGCUCCGGCGCAAAGAGAGGCCCAAGUGAGAUUAGCUAGUUGGUAAGGUAACGGCUUACCAAGGCGACGAUCUCUAGCUGUUCUGAGAGGAAGAUCAGCCACACUGGGACUGAGACACGGCCCAGACUCCUACGGGAGGCAGCAGUGGGGAAUAUUGCACAAUGGGGGAAACCCUGAUGCAGCCAUGCCGCGUGUGUGAAGAAGGCCUUCGGGUUGUAAAGCACUUUCAGUUGUGAGGAAAAGUUAGUAGUUAAUACCUGCUAGCCGUGACGUUAACAACAGAAGAAGCACCGGCUAACUCCGUGCCAGCAGCCGCGGUAAUACGGAGGGUGCGAGCGUUAAUCGGAAUUACUGGGCGUAAAGCGCACGCA
rnacentral:rRNA from 1 species